rnacentral:rRNA from 1 species
CCUACGGGAGGCAGCAGUGGGGAAUAUUGGGCAAUGGGCGCAAGCCUGACCCAGCAACGCCGCGUGAAGGAAGAAGGCUUUCGGGUUGUAAACUUCUUUUCUCAGGGACGAAGAAAGUGACGGUACCCGAGGAAUAAGCCACGGCUAACUACGUGCCAGCAGCCGCGGUACUACGUAGGUGGCAAGCGUUCUCCGGAUGUACUGGGUGUAAAGGGCGUGUAGGCGGGGCAGCAAGUCAGAUGUGAAAACCACGGGCUCAACCUGUGGCCUGCAUUUGAAACUGUUUUUCUUGAGUACUGGAGAGGCAGACGGAAUUCCUAGUGUAGCGGUGAAAUGCGUAGAUAUUAGGAGGAACACCAGUGGCGAAGGCGGUCUGCUGGACAGCAACUGACGCUGAGGCGCGAAAGCGUGGGGAGCAAACAGGAUUAGAUACCCGUGUAGUC